rnacentral:misc_RNA from 1 species
AAUGCGCUAAGUAAUGUGAAUUGCAGAAUUCAGUGAAUCAUCGAAUCUUUGAACGCACCUUGCGCUCCUUGGUAUUCCUUGGAGCAUGCCUGUUUGAGUAUCAUGAAAUCUUCAAAGUAAAUCUUUUGUUAACUCAAUUGGUUUCUACUUUGGUAUUGGAGGUCUUUGCAGCUUCACACCUGCUCCUCUUUGUUCAUUAGCUGGAUCUCAGUGUUAUGCUUGGUUCCACUCGGCGUGAUAAGUUAUCUAUCGCUGAGGACACUGUAAAAGGUGGCCAAGGUAAAUGCAGAUGAACCGCUUCUAAUAGUCCAUUGACUUGGACAAUACUUUUAUGAUCUGAUCUCAAAUCAGGUAGGACUACCCGCUGAACUUAAGC